rnacentral:rRNA from 1 species
CCUACGGGAGGCAGCAGUGGGGAAUAUUGGGCAAUGGGCGCAAGCCUGACCCAGCAACGCCGCGUGAAGGAAGAAGGCUUUCGGGUUGUAAACUUCUUUUAUUGAGGACGAAACAAAUGACGGUACCUGAGUAAGAAGCCCCGGCUAACUACGUGCCAGCAGCCGCGGUAAUACGUAGGGGGCAAGCGUUAUCCGGAUUUACUGGGUGUAAAGGGAGCGUAGACGGCCAGACAAGUCUGGAGUGAAAAUUCAGCGCUUAACGUUGGAAGUGCUUUGGAAACUGCCGGGCUGGAGUGCAGGAGGGG